GGGGGCGACUGGUUUCGACGGGGAUCAAGAGGUCGGGAGUUGCAUGCCGAGGUGCCAUGGGGCUCGUUAAACACAUGGCAAAACACAACUGCCAAUAACCAAGAACUGGCACUCGCUGCUUAACUAAGUAGCGCGUCUCCCGGCAGCCGCCCGAGCGGCCGAAGGGAUGUCACAAUUCGGGCUGGUCUUUCCGUUCCGUCCGGGGCGGUAAGAUAAGAAAUAC
rnacentral:tmRNA from 1 species